AAUACAGAUAUAUUUACAAGUACUUUGAAGCGUGCAUUUGGCCGGCAGCCUCAGAAGUGACAGAACAGUGCCUGGUGGUUUGGAGCACCUGCCUGCAAAGCAAGAUUUCAUCAUUCCCUUCUCAUCUCUCCCCUGAAUCAGAGGCUCCACUCACAAACCAGCAUUAGAAGAACACCACUAAGGAAAAGGACUUCUUCAAAUAGAGUUGGACGUGAACUUUUGUACGAGGACAUCUUCUGUACCGAAGAAAUACCUAGCACAAAUUUUAUCGACUCCACUUGUGAUUUCUGCAAAGAAAGGCUUGUGAAAAGGUGAAUGCUGGAUUAAGUCUUCAGGAUUAAGAAGUUGUUUAAGUACCAUCUCACAGGUGUUCUGCAUCUCCGACUAGAGCUGCCCGUCUGUC